GGACAACCGGGUGCGCGUCAUCGUGGAGCUGACCCCGGACGGCCGGGAGAAGUGGGUCGAUGCGAUGCGCCAGGCCACGGUCUUCGAAGCGGACCUUCUCCAGGACCUCUCCAGCGAGGAGCGCGGAGCCCUCGGCGAGAUGCUGACCCGCGUGCUGCGCCGGGUGGAGGAGGACCAGCCCGACGCCGAGGGACGGCUGAGCGACCUCGACUGAGGCAUUUGGCCUAGCCGAGGUUGACACGGGUCCGGGCGAUCCGUAAUGUACUCCGAGCUGCCACGGAGCCGUAACGGUUCUCUGGGCAGCACUUGAGCCGCACCGGCGGCAAACCACUACUGCACGGCCCCUCAUCGGGAUGGAUUUCGGCAUGCCGGAAUUCGGACCGGGGAACUCGAUUAUGAGCAUCCGGGGGAAUCCGCUAAAGUAGUGGACACGCCGGAAGGCGCGAAAGACCCCGCUCCAGCAGGGGGCCGGAAACGGAAUUCGGAUCGGAAACGACCGGAAAUCGGAUCUGGUAAGGUUGGAAACACCGAAGGGAAGCGCCCGGAGAAGCCGGUGAAACGGUUUCGAAGGAAGCGUCCGUUCUUUGAGAACUCAACAGCGUGCCAAAAGUCAACGCCAGAUAUGUUGAUACCCCGUCCAGGUUUGGACGAGGUUCCUUUGAAGAAAAACACAGCGAGGACGCUGUGAACGGGCCGGGUUAUUCCUCUGGUUCCGUUCCGCUCUCGUGAUGUGUUGCCGGGAUAUCCCGGAAGCAUUCACGGAGAGUUUGAUCCUGGCUCAGGACGAACGCUGGCGGCGUGCUUAACACAUGCAAGUCGAACGAUGAACCGGUUUCGGCCGGGGAUUAGUGGCGAACGGGUGAGUAACACGUGGGCAAUCUGCCCUGCACUCUGGGACAAGCCCUGGAAACGGGGUCUAAUACCGGAUAUGACUGCCGACCGCAUGGUUUGGUGGUGGAAAGCUCCGGCGGUGCAGGAUGAGCCCGCGGCCUAUCAGCUUGUUGGUGGGGUGAUGGCCUACCAAGGCGACGACGGGUAGCCGGCCUGAGAGGGCGACCGGCCACACUGGGACUGAGACACGGCCAGACUCCUACGGGAGGCAGCAGUGGGGAAUAUUGCACAAUGGGCGCAAGCCUGAUGCAGCGACGUGAAAGAGUGCGUAAUAGCUCACUGGUCAAGUGAUUCCGCGCCGACAAUGUAGCGGGGCUCAAGCGUACCGCCGAAGUCGUGUCAUUGCAGCAUGUGGUCCAACGGCCGCUGUGAUGGGUAGGGGAGCGUCGUGUGCCGGGUGAAGCAGCCGUGUAAGCGAGUUGUGGAUGGUUCACGAGUGAGAAUGCAGGCAUGAGUAGCGAUACACACGUGGGAAACGUGUGCGCCGAUUGACUAAGGGUUCCUGGGUCAAGCUGAUCUGCCCAGGGUAAGUCGGGACCUAAGGCGAGGCCGACAGGCGUAGUCGAUGGACAACCGGUUGAUAUUCCGGUACCCGCUUUGAAACGCCCAGUAUCGAAUCCUCUGAUGCUAAGGCCGUGAAGCCGUCCUGGAUCCUUCGGGUGAAGGGGAGUGGUGGAGCCGCCGGUCCAAGGUGGUAGUAGGUAAGUGAUGGGGUGACGCAGGAAGGUAGUCCAUCCCGGGCGGUGGUUGUCCCGGGGUAAGGGUGUAGCCCGAGGGGUAGGUAAAUCCGUCCCUCUUGUGGGUGAGACCUGAUGCCGAGCCGAUUGUGGUGAAGUGGAUGAUCCUAUGCUGUCGAGAAAAGCCUCUAGCGAGUUUCAUGGCGGCCCGUACCCUAAACCGACUCAGGUGGUCAGGUAGAGAAUACCGAGGCGUUCGGGUGAACUAUGGUUAAGGAACUCGGCAAAAUGCCCCCGUAACUUCGGGAGAAGGGGGGCCAUUGCUGGUGAUGGGAUUUUCUCCUUGAGCUGGUGGUGGCCGCAGAGACCAGCGAGAAGCGACUGUUUACUAAAAACACAGGUCCGUGCGAAGCCGUAAGGCGAUGUAUACGGACUGACGCCUGCCCGGUGCUGGAACGUUAAGGGGACCGGUUAGUCACAUUUCGGUGUGGCGAGGCUGAGAACUUAAGCGCCAGUAAACGGCGGUGGUAACUAUAACCAUCCUAAGGUAGCGAAAUUCCUUGUCGGGUAAGUUCCGACCUGCACGAAUGGCGUAACGACUUCUCGACUGUCUCAACCAUAGGCCCGGUGAAAUUGCAUUACGAGUAAAGAUGCUCGUUUCGCGCAGCAGGACGGAAAGACCCCGGGACCUUUACUAUAGCUUGAUAUUGGUGUUCGGUUCGGCUUGUGUAGGAUAGGUGGGAGACUGUGAACUCUGGACGCCAGUUCAGGGGGAGUCGUUGUUGAAAUACCACUCUGGUCGUGCUGGAUGUCUAACCUGGGUCCGUGAUCCGGAUCAGGGACAGUGUCUGGUGGGUAGUUUAACUGGGGCGGUUGCCUCCUAAAGGGUAACGGAGGCGCCCAAAGGUUCCCUCAGCCUGGUUGGCAAUCAGGUGUUGAGUGUAAGUGCACAAGGGAGCUUGACUGUGAGACCGACGGGUCGAGCAGGGACGAAAGUCGGGACUAGUGAUCCGGCGGUGGCUUGUGGAAGCGCCGUCGCUCAACGGAUAAAAGGUACCCCGGGGAUAACAGGCUGAUCUUCCCCAAGAGUCCAUAUCGACGGGAUGGUUUGGCACCUCGAUGUCGGCUCGUCGCAUCCUGGGGCUGGAGUCGGUCCCAAGGGUUGGGCUGUUCGCCCAUUAAAGCGGUACGCGAGCUGGGUUUAGAACGUCGUGAGACAGUUCGGUCCCUAUCCGCUGUGCGCGUAGGAGUCUUGAGAAGGGCUGUCCCUAGUACGAGAGGACCGGGACGGACGAACCUCUGGUGUGCCAGUUGUUCUGCCAAGGGCAUGGCUGGUUGGCUACGUUCGGGAGGGAUAACCGCUGAAAGCAUCUAAGCGGGAAGCCUGCUUCGAGAUGAGGACUCCCACCCACUUGAUGGGUUAAGGCUCCCAGUAGACGACUGGGUUGAUAGGCCAGAUAUGGAAGCCGGGUGACCGGUGGAGUUGACUGGUACUAAUAGGCCGAGGGCUUGUCCU
rnacentral:rRNA from 1 species